GAUGAACGCUGGCGGCGUGCCUAAUACAUGCAAGUCGAGCGAACAGAUAAGGAGCUUGCUCCUUUGACGUUAGCGGCGGACGGGUGAGUAACACGUGGGUAACCUACCUAUAAGACUGGGAUAACUUCGGGAAACCGGAGCCAAUACCGGAUAAUAUUUCGAACCGCAUGGUUCGAUAGUGGAAGAUGGUUUUGCUAUCACUUAUAGAUGGACCCGCGCCGUAUUAGCUAGUUGGUAAGGUAACGGCUUACCAAGGCGACGAUACGUAGCCGACCUGAGAGGGUGAUCGGCCACACUGGAACUGAGACACGGUCCAGACUCCUACGGGAGGCAGCAGUAGGGAAUCUUCCGCAAAGGGCGAAAGCCUGACGGAGCAACGCCGCGUGAGUGAUGAAGGUCUUCGGAUCGUAAAACUCUGUUAUUAGGGAAGAACAUACGUGUAAGUAACUGUGCACGUCUUGACGGUACCUAAUCAGAAAGCCACGACUAACUACGUG
rnacentral:rRNA from 1 species